UACCAUUCAUAAUAAUAUCAUAAAAAUCAUCUUUUAUUAAGAAUUGAAACCAUCUUUUGUCAAAAGGCCUACAAAAAUAACAUUCAUCAUAAAGGAGGGACAAUAAUGACAAUCAUUCAAUAUGAUAACUUUUAAAUAAAAAAUAAGCUGAACAAUUUCUAAAGCUAGAACUGAAACAAAACUUCUAUCUCCAACAUUCAAAAAUCUCUCAC
rnacentral:lncRNA from 1 species